CUGGUGGACAAAAAACUCAACAUGAGCCAGCAGUGCGUGCCUGCAGCUCAGAAGGCCAACUGCAUCCUGGGCUGAAUCAAAAGAGGUGUGACCAGCAGGUCGAGGGAGGUGAUUGUGCCCCUCUAUUCUGUCCUUGUGAGGCCUCACUUGGAGUACUGCAUCCAGGUUUGGGACCCCCAGCACAAGAAAGAUGUGGACCUGUUAGAGUGAGUCCAGAGGAGGGCUACAAAGAUGCUCAGAGGGC